rnacentral:rRNA from 1 species
CUACGUAGGUGACAAGCGUUAUCCGGAUUUACUGGGCGUAAAGGGCGUGUAGGCGGUCUUGCAAGUCAGAAGUGAAAUUCCUGAGCUCAACUCGGGCGCUGCUUCUGAAACUGCAGGACUUGAGUGCUGGAGGGGAUAGCGGAAUUCCUAGUGGAGCGGUAAAAUGCGCAGAUAUUAGGAAGAACACCGGGGGCGAAGGCGGCUAUCUGGACAGUAACUGACGCUGUGGCGCGAAAGCGUGGGGAGCAAACAGGAUUAGAUACCCGGGUAGGCCACGCCGUAAACGAUGAAUACUAGGUGUAGGGGGUAUCGACUCCCUCUGUGCCGCAGUUAACACAAUAAGUAUUCCGCCUGGGGAGUACGGCCGCAAGGUUGAAACUCAAAGGAAUUGACGGGG